rnacentral:sRNA from 12 species
CCCUUGGAGAGUUAUAUCAAACGAAAGUAGGUUGUUAUUUAUAAUUUCCAAAAUCGAAUUCGUAGAACAGGGAA